CGCAGCCUCGCCCUCUGCUGCCAGCGGGCCGCGCGCGGGAGACUCCGGUCCUGGCUGCAGCCGAGAUUUCUCACCAGCCAGCGGCCCGGGAAUCUGGAGAGCCCAGCCAGGACUGCGGGAGAUGCACCAAAUGGGAAAGACUUUUGGAGCUGGUGAGCAAGGAAGCGAAGGAGAGGCUGGGGCACCUUUUGUGUCUUCAUGAAUAACAAUGAUCAUCAACAGAGCUCAAGAGAAAAUAAUGAGGAAUAAAAAUGUGGCUAAUGACAGCAGAGUCCACACCUUCACUUUUCAGUCCUGGGGGUCUGGUCCUCUGACCCAUUUUACAAUUAUGACACGUGAUAUACCUCCUACUAUAGGGAACGUACUCUCUUUCGAGCACUGGCAAAGGCUGAGGUAAAAGAUCCUGCUCCAUCACAGUGAAAAAUUCGGAGGAUUAUUACCAGCUGGGAAUACCAAAACCAAAGUGUAUAUGCACACUUGAUUUUAUCGCUUUUGUGCUGUUUCAACGAAAUAGUUUCACGAUUUUUCAGAACUGCAAUUUCCCAAUAUAUUAAAUGAAGGUAUCAUACUGGAAGAUGUCUAAGAUUCCUCACCAAUUCCCGAAUCUCUGACCCUGUGAAGUCAACUUGGCCAGCAUUGGGGCAGGCGGUUCCACUGCGGGGAAGAGCCUGGUGCUGUGGAGAAUCCACAGACGAACGAGCCACAACCUAUGGUCAAAACACCACGCGGCGUCAGAACAUGAGCGCACAGAACACAGAGUCAGCGAAGCAAGGAGCACAGGACUGUAUCGGGAGGCUUUCUGCAGAUUUUCCAAUGAGAAGAGACACAGAGAGAUGGAUAUAGCUUAAUGGUAGAAAAAGAAUCUGAGGGUGUAAAGCACACUGUGUUGAGCUGUUUUUGGUGCAAACUUGGGAGGGGAGAGGUUGGUAAGAACAUAAAGUCAGGUUGGACCAUUUAUGGGGCAUUCCAAAUGAGGUGCUUGGGAUAUUGAACCUUGUCUGUGGGGAACUGCCUCAUAUACAUAUGUGUGUGUGUGUAUAUGGAUAUAUAUUAUAUAUAUGUUUAUAUAUUUAUAUAUAUUUUACAAUUA